GAUGAAGAACGCAGCGAAAUGCGAUAAGUAGUGUGAAUUGCAGAAUUCAGUGAAUCAUCGAAUCUUUGAACGCACAUUGCGCCCCUUGGUAUUCCAUGGGGCAUGCCUGUUCGAGCGUCAUUUGUACCUUCAAGCUCUGCUUGGUGUUGGGUGUUUGUCUCGCCUCUGCGUGUAGACUCGCCUCAAAAUAAUUGGCAGCCGGCGUAUUGAUUUCGGAGCGCAGUACAUCUCGCGCUUUGCACUCAUAACGACGACGUCCAAAAGUACAUUUUUACACCCUUGACCUCGGAUCAGGUAGGGAUACCCGCUGAACUUAAGCAUAUCAAUAAGCGGAGGA
rnacentral:misc_RNA from 1 species